rnacentral:tRNA from 1 species
UUUAUAGCUCAGUGGUAGAGCGCUUGCUUCGCAUAUGCAAGGCCCUGGGUUCGAUCCUCAGCACGUAAAA